rnacentral:rRNA from 1 species
UGGGGAAUAUUGCACAAUGGGCGGAAGCCUGAUGCAGCGACGCCGCGUGGGGGAUGAAGGCCUUCGGGUUGUAAACUCCUUUCGACAGGGACGAAACUUUUGUGACGGUACCUGUAUAAGAAGCACCGGCUAACUACGUGCCAGCAGCCGCGGUAAUACGUAGGGUGCGAGCGUUGUCCGGAAUUACUGGGCGUAAAGAGCUCGGAGGUGGUUUGUCGCGUCGUCUGUGAAAUUCCGGGGCUUAACUCCGGGCGUGCAGGCGAUACGGGCUGACUUGAGUGCUGUAGGGGAGACUGGAAUUCCUGGUGUAGCGGUGAAAUGCGCAGAUAUCAGGAGGAACACCGAUGGCGAAGGGAGGUCUCUGGGCAGUAACUGACGCUGAGGAGCGAAAGCAUGGGUAGCGAACAGG